UGGGCAUUUUAUUCCGUUGUCAUCCACAUUCACAACACAUUAUGUUGCCUUAGCUUUUGUUGCUAAUAUCAUUGAACUACAUGGACCUCCACGAGUUAUAGUAACUGACAGGGAACCGAGAUUUAUUCACUCUAUUUGGCAGGAAAUUAAUUGACUCCAAGGCCACCACGCUAGCUAUGAGUACAACAUAUCACCCACAAACUGAUGGCCAAUCUGAAGCAUUGAAUAAGUGCAUUGAACACUAUAUGAGGUGUUUUAUUUCGGAGAGUCCUCACGAAUGGGUAACAAUACUACCUUGGAUCGAAUUUCGGUAAAACACCACCUUUUAUUUGCUUGCCGAAGUGAUACCUUUUCAGGUAUUGUAUGGGCAUGAGCCUCUUACUAUUUCUCGUUCCGUGUUGGGCGAUGCUGCAAAUGAUUUAGUCGAGAAGUACAAGCUGAAGAGAGAUGACGUUUUGGUGCUACUUCAGAACAACUUGUUCAAGGCUCAAACACAUAUGAAACUAUAUGUUGACGCUCGUCGAACGGAUUUGCAUUUGGAAGUUGGGGAUUGGGAAUUUGUGAAGCUCAAGUCUUACAGGCAGAUUUCCCUCAAUUUGCACCACCACCACAAACGCCACCGGAAGUACUUUGGUCCUUAUCAAGUGCUGAACGAAUUGGGUAUGUUGCAUACAAACUUGAUCAUCCAACUGAUGCAUAAAUUCAUCUCAUCUUUCAUAUUUCUAUGCUCAAGAAAUGUGUGAGAACACAUGUUAAACAAUUCACACCCCUAAUUCAAGUUCCUGUCGAAGAUCAACAUCAACCGAACCUUGAGGACAAGGUUCUUUGUUGGGAGGGAAGCAUUAAUAUGGAUCAGCUAGCCCAAGUUAGUAGGGAAAAUGAAAUUGGGAUCAUGACAAUUAGGAAAAGCCAAUAAAUCAAACAACCAACAAAAAGCUACAAGACUAUAUCCUAGGUUAAAGGAAAGACAAGCACGUGAGAAACAUAUGAGUGAGAAAAGUUGUUAUAUGCAAGAGUAUUGCAGAGUAGCGGGGAAGACAGAAGUGAUAGCAACUCUGAAUUCUCAUCUUAUUUCUUCUCAGUUUUCUCACGCUCUUCUAUCUUACUUUUUUAAUAAUUUUCCUAUUGUAAUUGUUUUUCUUUUGAGAGUUAAACUACCAGAUUUCCUUUCUGUAAUUUCUCUUCUUGAGUUUUCAAUUUAAGUAUUGCUACUGUUUCUGUAAUUGGGUUGAAAUUUGUUCCACCAUAACUAAUAGUAAAUACAGAAGUUGACACAUAAUUACAAGGAAAUUAGUCCAAGUAAAGCAUUUUUACUUACUAUAUAAUUAUAUAGAGAAGGAAGCAAAAGUAACAGAUACACUAGUGAAUAACUUUCGAAAUUGAUUCUAGAAAAAAAAACUAACAUCAAGCGACUAAAAAUCAAUCAAGUACUUACUCAGUACCUUUUCCCUUUUGAAAGAGGAUCAAAGUAGUUUUAGCAUGUAACCGUUUUAGCGGAAGAUAAAAAAAUUGAAGUUGAUGAUGCAUAAGAAAAGGAAACCAAAUUGAUUGAGUAUGAAAAUAAAUCAAACUUUUGCAUCUAUUAAAGUCUACUAAACUAAUCAGUACCAACUUCAUAUAAACAAAAAAAAACCAUUCCAACUACCAUAAUUAACAAUUAACAGGCUGCACAAAAUCGAGCUAAGGAAGCAUGCAAUGAUUUAAAUCUAGCAAAAUCAUUCACAUCGUCAGAACUUGGGGAUUUUCGUAUAGAGCUACAAGCACAGGGGAAAAUGGCUGGGUGGGUGAGUAUUAACCAAAACUUAACACUAAAAUCUCACCAGUAGCAAAUGGUAACACAACCAAAGAAAAAUGAUACAUGGAAUAAAUUUGAGAAGUCGAAACCUCGAAGCUCAACAGAGAAUCAGGUGAAGUUGUGGAACUCGACCAAUAACCCUCUCGAGCCUGAUUUUUGAAUUGUCCUCAUUGUCGAAGGCUUGUGUUGGAGAAGACGAGAGGGGACCCGGGUGGUCUCGAUUUCAACGAAGGGGGAAGAGAGGGAAAGGAAGGUGUGGAGUCGGUGGUGUUUUAGAGUAAUCGGGUGGUGGAGAGACGGAUGAGGUGCGGUGAGAGAUCGGGUUACGGGUCGAUCCCAUGGGUCAAUUGGAAGAAAAAGAACACUUAACUAAAAAAAAAUGCUACUCUACGAGUGGCUACUUACUUUCACACUCAUGCUUGUAACUACCGUUUACUGUUUG
rnacentral:lncRNA from 1 species